GUAAAUUCAAGCUAUUGUGAGAUAUGUUCUUAUCAUGGUUGCUCCGGUAGGAUCAGAAAGAAGAUGUUUAACGAGGCACAUUCUUAGAUCAUUUGGAGCAAGGACGAACAUAUAUAAGGCAAAAAGUGCAAGGUCUGCUGAAGAUAAAGUAGACCCAAGAAAUCCCUGCCACAUCCAAUCUGGCAAUUGGAAGAAAGUCCGGAAAAAUGUUCGAAUGCCCUCAAUGUCUAGUUGAACAAUCAGUGCAAG
rnacentral:misc_RNA from 1 species